rnacentral:rRNA from 1 species
CCUACGGGAGGCUGCAGUGAGGAAUAUUGGUCAAUGGGCGCGAGCCUGAACCAGCCAAGUAGCGUGAAGGAUGACUGCCCUACGGGUUGUAAACUUCUUUUAUAAAGGAAUAAAGUGAGGCACGUGUGCCUUUUUGUAUGGACUUUAUGAAUAAGGCUCGGCUAACUCCCUGCCAGCAGCCGCGGUAAUACGGAGGAUCCGAGCGUUAUCCGGAUUUAUUGGGUUUAAAGGGAGCGUAGAUGGGUUUUUAAGUGAGUUGUGAAAGUUUGCGGGUCAACCGUAAAAUUGCAAUUGAUACUGGCAGUCGUGAGUACAGUUGAGGUAGGCGGAAUUCGUGGUGUAGCGGUGAAAUGCGUAGAUAUCACGAAGAACCCCGAUUGCGAAGGCAGCUUACUAAACUGUGACUGACAUUGAUGCUCGAAAGUGUGGGUAUCAAACAGGAUUAGAUACCCUUGUAGUC